GCCUGGAUAGCUCAGUUGGCUAGAGCGUGGUACUGAUAACGCCAAGGUUGCAGGUUCGAUUCCCCGCAUGGGACA